UUGCUGUGAUGACAUUCUUAGGACACCUUUGGAUUAAUCGUGAAAAUAAAUUUCUAUUCUGAGCAAC